GGCUCAGAACGAACGUGGGCGGCGUGGAUUAGGCAUGCAAGUCGAACGAAGCUAGUCCGGUAGCAAUACCGGGCUAGACUGAGUGGCGAAAGGGGCAGUAAUGCGUGGGUAACCUACCUCUGGGACGGGGAUAGCCCUCCUAACGGAGGGGUAAUACCCGGCGAGUUGAGCGAGGGGCAUCUCUUGCUCAGGAAAUGAAUUUCGCCUGGAGAGGGGCUCACGUGCUAUUAGCUAGUUGGCGGGGUAACGGCCCACCAAGGCAAAGAUGGCUAGCGGGUGUGAGAGCACGACCCGCGCCACUGGCACUGAGACACUGGCCAGACUCCUACGGGAGGCUGCAGUCGAGGAUCUUCGGCAAUGGGCGCAAGCCUGACCGAGCGACGCCGCGUGCGCGAUGAAGGCCUUCGGGUUGUAAAGCGCUGUCGAGGGGGAGGAAAACCCGCAAGGGUCUGACCUAUCCCUGGAGGAAGCACGGGCUAAGUUCGUGCCAGCAGCCGCGGUAAGACGAACCGUGCAAACGUUGUUCGGAAUCACUGGGCUUAAAGGGCGCGUAGGCGGGCUUCAAAGUCGGUGGUGAAAUCUUUCGGCUCAACCGGAAAACAGCCGCCGAUACUGGGAGUCUCGAGGGAGGUAGGGGUCGAUGGAACUUCAGGUGGAGCGGUGAAAUGCGUAGAUAUCUGAAGGAACGCCGGUGGCGAAAGCGAUCGACUGGACCUCUUCUGACGCUGAGGCGCGAAAGCCAGGGGAGCAAACGGGAUUAGAUACCCCGGUAGUCCUGGCCCUAAACGAUGGGUACCAGAUUGUGGACUGGACAUGGGUUCACAGUCGAGGCAAAAGUGUUAAGUACCCCGCCUGGGGAGUAUGGGUCGCAGGCUGAAACUCAAAG
rnacentral:rRNA from 1 species